UCUAAUUCCGUUAUUGCAACUGCAGACGGUUAACUGGCACAACGGCUGCUAACCUCCCUCACUCUUGUAAAGUCUGAGCUACAGGCAGUGCCUUUGGCUCUGAGCUCCGGCAUGCUAAACUCUGUUUCGGCAAUUAAGUGCUGUGGGGUGUUGAUCAAGUUCUUCUUAACUAUUCUCCUUUAAGCUGAUUUCUUCCCACAAGAUUCUCCUUUGUUCCUCUAUGGAUCCUUACACCCCCAGCCAAGACCCAGCUCACUGGCUCAGACCCAUGCUGUCUUCCCCACAUUCCCUGCAGUCCAGAGCCAGAACCAGGCUCCAGAGGACAGGACUUCAAAUCUGCAUACAUCAUGAGAUAUAUCAUUCUAACCUCUCUCCAUUUUAUUCUCAUUUCCAUUUCUACAUGUCCAGUUAAGGGUCUAUAAUGCAACUCAGAUGAAUCUUGAGGCCAGGGUAUAUGAGAGAGCAUUUUCUGAAUUAACUUUGAGAAAAGUGACUCCAGGACCUGCUUUAUGCUACACAAGAUGACAGACAAGCAUCUGUCUACAGGACAGUCUUUGCUUCGGUUCAGCCCAAUUGAUAACAGAGAGAGAUUUCACUGAAGUUGUCAGAGAGAAGACUGAAAUCCAUGAAACCACAGGAAACAAAGCCGAUAAUGAGAUAAAUGGGGAAAGGAAAGAAAAUAAUGGGAAACUGGGUUGUUCCAUUUUGUAUCUCUAAAUCCCGCUGCCAUGUAGUAAACACCUGGUGAGAUUUCAGUUUAGAUGCAUGCCUUGAACUCACACCUUGAGAUUCUCACUGACAUGAUCUGGGAUGUGGUUUGGGUGUCUGUAGUUUUAAAAUGCUCCCACGUGAUUCUGAUAUGUGGCUGAAGAUGAGGAAGACAACUGGUCUUCUACGACCUCAGGUUGCCAACAUGGAAGUGUUCCAUAUGCGUGGCUACUCCGAAGAAGAGGCUGAGCAUCCAUCAGCAUUUGAUGGGAUCUGUAUUCCCCUCGCAAUGGUACUGUUCAUAUAGCACAGAAAAAAAUCAGACAGGAAACCAAGAAAAUUAAGAGAAUAGACCUUUAGCCUCUGCUCCUAAUGGUGAGUGUGGCAUCUAUAUGUGAGGGCAUCAAGAGCAGGGAGUACCCUGGUGAGAGGAACAUCCUGCUUCCUGGGGCACAGGCUCUUACUCUAAAGAGGAAGAACAACGACAUAUUAGACAUUGUGGAGGUCACAGGGUAGCUUGGGGAGAAGGGAUCCUGGGCCAGACUCUUGGGCUCCAUCCAUUGCUGAGCUUCUCUGUGCCUCAGUUUCCUCAUCUGUUCUUUGGGUAUUAUAAUAAUACCUACCUCUGUAAAUUGCUACCUCUGUAAAUGACUGUUUCUUCUAAAGCACCUAGAACAAUACUUGGCACAGAGUAAACACUAUUCAUUCUUUAUUCUACUAUUUCUAACUUAAUUCAAACUUUAUUAGUAUUUGGCCAUAUUUCUUUUAUGAUUUCAGGGUCCAAUGCCUCAUAUUUUAUGCAAUUAUAUUCAGAUACGAUUUUUCAAAUCUUUGACAAAUUUGUGCUUGAAAUUCCCAGUUCCAGGGAAUCUGUGAGUCCCACAGUCCUAAGGGCAUUUCCUACUGUCCAGAAUAUCAGUACUUCAUGCCCUCAUUGAGUGUGUUGCCAGAGAGGCUGCAAGACUUGGGAAUGUGGCCCAAAACUAAGAGUCAGACCUUGGGGGCUGUGAAUUCUGACUCUGUCUCAUUCCAGGUGUUACUUGAUGUGCCACUGAGUUUCUUUUUCCCCAUCUCUAGGUUGGAGAGUGUCAGAUGCCAGCGAGUUGGGAGGUUGAUAACUAAAAAUGAGGAAAUCCCUCAGUGGAGCCUGAUAGUGCAGAUGCUUUGGUCCUUGGGAUGGACACUGCCACCUGCCAUGUAGGCAGUGACCACAACAGCCUGUCCAGCCUUCCACUGAGGCAGGCAUGACUUUCUUUUCUCAGACUGUGAUGACUACAAAGAGCACAUCAAGUCUCUGCAAAAGACAUAUUUCAAAUCAGAGCGCAGACCAUUUAUAAGGAGUUCACAGAAAUUGAGGAGCUCAGGCAAUAUAAAGCCCUGGCUAUCAGGCAGAGCAGCUGACAAAGUUACAGAAGGAGUUACAAAAAUGAAGAGAUGCCUCCACCACACUGAAUAAAAAUUUCAAGCCCCCCCCCACUCCUGAUUACCUGGACAAGUCCCAGGGUCAGGACCUCCAAGAGCAGCUGGCUAAGGGGCUCAGGCUGACCGAGCAUUAUGUCAACAAGCUCAGCCCAGCCAUGACAUGACCAGGACUUCCUGGACAGAAACUGAGAUGGAAAACCCAUGGGGUCGGAGGUCACAGGAUGGCAAAUGUCUCCUCAUUUCUUGCUGGAACGUGGUCUUUGGGGCAAGAGGCAGCAUCUGUCCAGUUUUAAAGGACAGGAAGGAGGUUGUGACAGGAGGCAGCUUGUCAGAGUCAAAAGAGUCCUGGACUAAGAAUGAGGAUUCCAGGCUCUAUCUUCAGCAGUGUCUUUGGCAACUAAAAUGAUAAAUAUCAUCAAGAUAAUAAGAUGAGGAGGUCGAGAAAGCAGAGAAAUCAGCUGCCUCCAGGUAACACUGAAUAACCAGGAGCGGGUAAUGGGUGGUGAAAUCUGGAAAAGGUCUCAGAAAGAACGUAAGUUAGGUGAAAGGUCAGGUGGACUGACCAAACUCAGGGGUUUCCGAUCUCACCUGUUGUCUGCCUCUUUGGCAUUACCAUGUAUGCAAGUAUUUGCUAGCAGGAAAGUGAAUGAAAACUCAUAUUAUGCUCACAGUUUUGAGAACAAGCGAGGUUGAGGAUACAGGAACUGUUUCUGUGAAGAUGCAAGAACCUGCAUUCAUUUGGCCUCUGAUGCUAAUUUCAACAAAAUGUG